GAUGAACGCUGGCGGCGUGCUUAACACAUGCAAGUCGAACGAUGAAGCCCAGCUUGCUGGGUGGAUUAGUGGCGAACGGGUGAGUAACACGUGAGUAACCUGCCCUUAACUCUGGGAUAAGCCUGGGAAACUGGGUCUAAUACCGGAUAGGAGCGUCCACCGCAUGGUGGGUGUUGGAAAGAUUUAUCGGUUUUGGAUGGACUCGCGGCCUAUCAGCUUGUUGGUGAGGUAAUGGCUCACCAAGGCGACGACGGGUAGCCGGCCUGAGAGGGUGACCGGCCACACUGGGACUGAGACACGGCCCAGACUCCUACGGGAGGCAGCAGUGGGGAAUAUUGCACAAUGGGCGAAAGCCUGAUGCAGCGACGCCGCGUGAGGAAUGACGGCCUUCGGGUUGUAAACCUCUUUCAGUAGGGAAGAAGCGAAAGUGACGGUACCUGCAGAAGAAGCACCGGCUAACUACGUG
rnacentral:rRNA from 1 species